rnacentral:rRNA from 1 species
CCUACGGGUGGCAGCAGUCGAGAAUCAUUCACAAUGGGGGAAACCCUGAUGGUGCGACGCCGCGUGGGGGAAUGAAGGUCUUCGGAUUGUAAACCCCUGUCAUGUGGGAGCAAAUUAAAAAGAUAGUACCACAAGAGGAAGAGACGGCUAACUCUGUGCCAGCAGCCGCGGUAAUACAGAGGUCUCCAGCGUUGUUCGGAAUCACUGGGCGUAAGGCGUGCGUAGGCUGUUUCGUAAGUCGUGUGUGAAAGGCGCGGGCUCAACCCGCGGACGGCACAUGAUACUGCGAGACUAGAGUAAUGGAGGGGGAACCGGAAUUCUCGGUGUAGCAGUGAAAUGCGUAGAUAUCGAGAGGAACACUCGUGGCGAAGGCGGGUUCCUGGACAUUAACUGACGCUGAGGCACGAAGGCCAGGGGAGCGAAAGGGAUUAGAUACCCGUGUAGUC